rnacentral:misc_RNA from 1 species
GAUGAAGAACGUAGCGAAAUGCGAUAAGUAAUGUGAAUUGCAGAAUUCAGUGAAUCGUCGAAUCUUUGAACGCACCUUGCGCCCUUUGGCCAUUCCGAAGGGCAUGCCUGUUUGAGUAUCAUGAACACCUCAACUCUCACGGCUUGUCCGUGAUGAGCUUGGACUUUGGGGGUCUUGCCGGCCUGUGGUCGGCUCCUCUCAAAUGGAUCAGCUUGCCAGUGUUUGGUGGCAUCACAGGUGUGAUAACUAUCUGCGCUUGUGGUUUUCCAUCAGAUAACCUUCAGUGAUAUGGAGGUUCGCUGGAGCUCACAAAUGUCUCUCCUUAGUGAGGACAGCUCUUUGAACGUUUGAUCUCAAAUCAGGUAGGACUACCCGCUGAACUUAAGCAUAUCAAUAAGCGGAGGA